GUUGCUCUCUCUCUCUCUCUCUCUUUCCCUUUCUCUCUCUAGGAAAGAAAAGAAAAGAAAGAGAAGAAGGAGAAGAAAGAAAAGAAGGAAAAGAGGAAGAAGUUGAAGGAGAAGUUCAAGAAGAAGAAGAAGAAGGUCUUCUUCUCUCCCUCCUUCAAGCUAAGGCAAGCUUGGAGCUUGGCUUAGAGGUAAGCUUCCACCCCUUUAAUGGUAAUUCUAGGGUUUUGGGUUUUUAGGGUUUAGAAUUGGUUCAAAUGGAACCUAUUAGGGAUAAAUGGAAGGUUCGAGCUCGCAAUUGAAGCUCGCACCGUGGAUUUCCUUCCCGUUGCCAUUUUAGGGCACGGAUUGGGGUUUUGGGAAAUCUAGGGUUUUGAUCUAAUUUGUUGGGUCGCUAACCUAAUUGCUAGGUCUUUGAACGCGUCGGCGAAGACGGUUUGCCGAUCCGACGAGCGGGUGCAGAGUUAUCGCCGAAUCGGGUACUCGAGGGCUCGCUUUGCCCCGAGGAGUUUAGGCGGCGUGCAAGAACCGCAACGUCGAGCUUUCUAUUGUCGCGGCAUCGCCAAGAGGUGGGUGGUGUCCAUCCCGAAGCAAUCGGGCUCCCUCCUAUGUCUUAGUAUAUUUGAUCUUGCAUCUUGUAUUAUUGCAUUAUAGGAUUUGUAUGCAUUGCCUUUCCUUAUGUUUUUCCUUCAUGGUAUCGUAGUGUGCAUCGGAUAAUUGAUAUAUUGGAUUGAUAAGGAUUGGGUCGAGAUUGUGAAUCCUAUGAUGUAGAGAAAAUGAUGAAGUAUGAACGAGUGGCAUCUAGUUAAUAGUAAACUAUGAAUGAGUGGCAUCUAGUCGAUAGCGGACAAACGGACAAUCUAGUUAAUAGUGUAUGUGACACCUAUGGACUAUAUGAUGAUUGUGACUCUAAAGGAUAGGGUAUCCUCGAGCUUAGAGGAUUGGAUCAUGCUCACGGUCUGUUAAAUCUUGUGAUGGAAGCCCCACACAAGUAGUGCGCUCCGGAUGUUGGUCACGCCAGGGAUUGCCUAUAUGGCCCCGCCAGACGGUCUCGGGUCCGUAGUGUGAGUUGAUUCUCCCUACGCGUCGAGAUGGCUAGUGAGCUGUAGGCGAGCCUUCGGGUAAGCCAUGAGAUUAAUGAACAAGUAAAUGAUGUUAUUGAACGAGCGAAUAGCUUCACCUUUGGACAUGAUGACAGGUUAGUUGCUUACCAAUUCAUUGGACAUGCAUUCAUACAUUUAUGAUUGGGCAUAGUAGAAUAGCUUCAUUUCCGUCAUUUACAGCUCCUUAUCUAUAUAUCUAUCUGUCUAUCCAUCUAUUGGUAUAUCUACUUGUGCCCGCUUGGACCUAGUGGGGAGAUCGGCGGAGUCGGCGGCCGAACCCACUGGGAACUAAGGAAGUUAGUUCUCACCCCCAUUUUUACCACAGGUUCCAGUUCGGGUGUCCCCGGUGAGCGUGAGGAUCGCGGUAAGGGCCCGGCGUUUUAGUAGCAUUAGCUACCUUCCUUUUUGCACUAGCCGUCACCCUUUUAUAUUUGAGAGUAGAUGAUGUAUAGGGUGAGGUUCGAGUGAUUGUAUUUAUAUUUUGGAAGAAUGUAAAAGAUGUAAUUGAAUGUAUUGAGUCAAAUAAAUGUAAUAGAUAGCUCUUCUCUCUUAUGUACUUGUAUAUGUUUCUAUACUUGUAUCUUGCUCUCGUCUUGUUAGCACUUGUUGUGCUCUUGUGAUUGUGUACUUAUGAGUUGAUUCCUGGGUAAACUCUUGUACAUGAUCGUUUGCUUAGCCUUGGGCGGACAGGGGAGACUCUGUCCGUUCGGCGUCUGUUCGACGCGCCCGGGCCCGAACCAAAUUGGUUGCGGUCGCGGGGCGUGACA
rnacentral:lncRNA from 1 species